rnacentral:rRNA from 1 species
CCUACGGGUGGCAGCAGUGGGGAAUAUUGCGCAAUGGGCGAAAGCCUGACGCAGCGACGCCGCGUGAGGGAUGAAGGUGCCAAGCAUUGUAAACUUCUUUUGUCAAGGGACAAAAUCAGGCUCGAGAGCCUGACCGAGGGUACUUGAAGAAAAAGCAUCGGCUAACUCCGUGCCAGCAGCCGCGGUAAUACGGAGGAUGCGAGCGUUAUCCGGAUUUAUUGGGUUUAAAGGGUGCGUAGGCGGGCUGUUAAGUCAGCGGUAAAAGCCCGGGGCUCAACCCCGGCGAGCCGUUGAAACUGGCUGUCUUGAGAUGUCGAGAGGUAUGCGGAAUGCGCAGUGUAGCGGUGAAAUGCUUAGAUAUUGCGCAGAACUCCGAUUGCGAAGGCAGCAUACCGGCGGCGAUCUGACGCUGAGGCACGAAAGCGUGGGUAUCGAACAGGAUUAGAUACCCUGGUAGUC